ensembl:lncRNA
GUGGACUCAGAGCCACCCAGUGGACAAGGACCAGAGGUCAACUUGGACUUUGGACACCGGACAUGGCGACGGGCCCCUGCCGGGAAGCGCAGGACCGAGGAUUGCAGCCCUCUUGACUCUGCUCCUGGCCAGCAGCUCCCUGGGUCAGCGGGCACGGAGACCCCCGCGGCCCCCAUCCCCUAUCAGCACCAUCCAGCCCAAGGCCAACUUUGACGCCCAGCAGGUAGAGCUGGGCCGAGGUGGGGCAGGGGCCCACCUGGCUCUNNNNNNNNNNNNNNNNNNNNNNNNNNNNNNNNNNNNNNGGCAGUGCUGGCGCCCCUGCGGGGGCGGCUCUUUCCAGGCACGGCGUCUGGCUUUGCACCUGAGCUCGGGCAUGCGCGGACCGAGCAGGAGGCCCUCAACACUUGUGUCCCUCACUGUCCUUCCGCACCACUUGGACCAUAAAGCUCUCCUGUUUUACUGCGCGUCUGUGUGUGCUGCUGCUGCCAGGGGCCCUGCCCAGGUCAGCGUGGGUGGGCAGGAGGGGCCCGAGCUCCCUGCCUACAGGCCAUGGGGCCCUUCUCCCCGCGAGGUGACUGCUCUCGGGGUAGGAAGCCUCAGGCAGGCCCAGCCCCACUUGCACCGUGCUGUCCAGGCUGGCCAGCGCAGCUGCCCUCCGCAGACCUGGUCCCACCCUUGAGGGUGGCUGUGCACCCCUGCUCCCACCUGGCACUGACCUCAGCCCUGCAGGCUCUGGCUGUCAGCAGGGCCCUACACCACCCAGUUGCCCGAGAACUGUCCCUUCCAAAGGCGUACAGGGUGCCUUCUAAGGCCGAAGAGGGGCUGGUUGGCAGGACGCCCUCUCCCCAAUUCAGGUGCCCAGAGAGCCCCACACCCAGGACACAGGUGGCCAGCCAGGACUGGUUGGGGGCUGGGCACCACACUGACCCAUAGGGGCUGCCUGUAGCCCAGUGUGUGAGGCUGGCUGUCCUUGCAGUGCCCACUAGCAUGAAGACCAGACUGACCUGGAAAUGGCCCAAGGCCCCCUCAGCUGACCGGCCCGGAUGUGGCCGACCCCAGCCUUGGGAGCCGCAGGCACCAGCGCCCUGCUCAUCUGCCAGCCUGGACUGUUCCCUGGUUCAGCCUCGUGUGAAGGGCUGGAGAAAGUGGCCCAGAAAGGAUGGUGUGGAGGAGGGGGCAGGACCCGAGUGGCUGGACAGCUGGGCGCCCCCUGCAGGUGCCUGGGACGCCGGCAUGGAACACAGGCCUGUGGCCGCAGGCCUUGGCUGCCUCCCGGGCCGUGCCCCAGGUAAGCUGGGCCAGCACUGGGGGUUAGCGGGGCCUGGGCUGCAGAGGGGCCGCCCUGACCCGCGUCUCCCCUCAGGGCGAAAGCCCCGAAAGGCCGAGUGAGCUGACGCCUGGAGACUUCUUUUAAGAUGACCCGCACCGACCCGCCGGAUCUGCUGGUGUCGACCGUGUACCAGGACAUCAAGGUGGCGGCCCCGGGGCCCGUGUCGAGGCCCCCGCCAUGUGAGGGCCCCAUGGCCCGGCCUGCAGCGCCCGCGCCUUUCAAUA